rnacentral:rRNA from 1 species
GAUGAACGCUAGCUACAGGCUUAACACAUGCAAGUCGAGGGGCAGCAUGAGGUCAGCUUGCUGACUUUGAUGGCGACCGGCGCACGGGUGAGUAACGCGUAUCGAACCUACCCUUUACUCGGGAACAGCCUUGCGAAAGCAAGAUUAAUGCCCGAUGUUCCGCGUUUGCCGCAUGGCAAAUUCGGCAAAGAUUUAUUGGUAAAGGAUGGCGAUGCGUCCCAUUAGUUAGUUGGCGGGGUAACGGCCCACCAAGACGACGAUGGGUAGGGGUUCUGAGAGGAAGGUCCCCCACAUUGGAACUGAGACACGGUCCAAACUCCUACGGGAGGCAGCAGUGAGGAAUAUUGGUCAAUGGGCGGAAGCCUGAACCAGCCAAGUAGCGUGCAGGAAGACAGCCCUAUGGGUUGUAAACUGCUUUCAGUCGGGAAUAAUUCGUCGGUCGUGACCGACGUUGCAGGUACCGUCAUAAGAAGGACCGGCUAAUUCCGUG